GACGAACGCUGGCGGCGUGCUUAACACAUGCAAGUCGAACGGAAAGGCCCUGCUUUUGUGGGGUGCUCGAGUGGCGAACGGGUGAGUAACACGUGAGUAACCUGCCCUUGACUUUGGGAUAACUUCAGGAAACUGGGGCUAAUACCGGAUAGGAGCUCCUGCUGCAUGGUGGGGGUUGGAAAGUUUCGGCGGUUGGGGAUGGACUCGCGGCUUAUCAGCUUGUUGGUGGGGUAGUGGCUUACCAAGGCUUUGACGGGUAGCCGGCCUGAGAGGGUGACCGGCCACAUUGGGACUGAGAUACGGCCCAGACUCCUACGGGAGGCGGCAGUGGGGAAUAUUGCACAAUGGGCGGAAGCCUGAUGCAGCAACGCCGCGUGCGGGAUGAUGGCCUUCGGGUUGUAAACCGCUUUCGCCUGUGACGAAGCGUGAGUGACGGUAAUGGGUAAAGAAGCACCGGCUAACUACGUG
rnacentral:rRNA from 1 species